rnacentral:rRNA from 1 species
CCUGAUGCAGCAACGCCGCGUGAGGGACGACGGCCUUCGGGUUGUAAACCUCUUUUAGCAAGGAAGAAGCGAAAGUGACGGUACUUGCAGAAAAAGCGCCGGCUAACUACGUGCCAGCAGCCGCGGUAAUACGUAGGGCGCAAGCGUUAUCCGGAAUUAUUGGGCGUAAAGAGCUCGUAGGCGGUUUGUCGCGUCUGCUGUGAAAUCCCGAGGCUCAACCUCGGGCCUGCAGUGGGUACGGGCAGACUAGAGUGCGGUAGGGGAGAUUGGAAUUCCUGGUGUAGCGGUGGAAUGCGCAGAUAUCAGGAGGAACACCGAUGGCGAAGGCAGAUCUCUGGGCCGUAACUGACGCUGAGGAGCGAAAGGGUGGGGAGCAAACAGGCUUAGAUACCCUGGUAGUCCACCCCGUAAACGUUGGGAACUAGUUGUGGGGUCCUUUCCACGGAUUCCGUGACGCAGCUAACGCAUUAAGUUCCCCGCCUGGGGAGUACGGCCGCAAGGCUAAAACUCAAAGGAAUUGACGGGGACCCGCACAAGCGGCGGAGCAUGCGGAUUAAUUCGAUGCAACGCGAAGAACCUUACCAAGGCUUGACAUACACGAGAACACUCUAGAAAUAGGGGACUCUUUGGACA